CUAUGGGGGAUAAGCUUCAUGGUCGCGAGGGAAAAAGCCCAGACCGCCAGCUAAGGCCCUAAAAUACAAUUAAGUGCAUAAGGAUGUGAAAUCGCUUAGACAGCUAGGAUGUUGGCUUAGAGGCAGCCACCAUUUAAACAGUGCGUAACAGCUGACUAGCCAAGUGGUUUCGCGCCGAAAAUGAUCGGGACUAAAUUGUAUGCCGAAGCUGCGGAUUGUACUCCUUCGGGAGUACAGUGGUAGAGGAGCGUUCCAUACGGGCUGAAGGGUUAGGGUAACCGAACCUGGACUGUAUGGAAGUGAUUAUGCGGACAUGAGUAACGAUAAGAUAGGUGAGAAUCCUAUCCGCCUAAAUCCUAAGAUUUCCUGGGGAAGGUUCGUCCGCCCAGGGUUAGUCGGUCCCUAAGCCGAGGCCAUAUGGCGUAGGUGAUGGGUAACAGGUUCAAUAUUCCUGUACUACUUGUUCAGCGUUUGAGCAAUGGAGCGACGCAGGAAGCUAGGUCAGCCACCGAUUGGAAGUGGUGGUCGA
rnacentral:rRNA from 1 species